GUUUCGGUGGUCAUGGCGGUCAGGGUACGCCCGGUUACAUUCCGAACCCGGAAGCUAAGCUGGCCAGCGCCGAUGGUACUGCACU
rnacentral:rRNA from 1 species